rnacentral:rRNA from 1 species
AUGAACGCUGGCGGCAGGCCUAACACAUGCAAGUCGAACGGUAACAUUUCUAGCUUGCUAGAAGAUGACGAGUGGCGGACGGGUGAGUAAUGCUUAGGAAUUUGCCUUUGUGAGGGGGACAACAGUUGGAAACGACUGCUAAUACCGCAUAAUACCUUCGGGUCAAAGGGGGCGCUUGCGCUCUUGCACAAAGAGAAGCCUAAGUGAGAUUAGCUAGUUGGUAAGGUAAAGGCUUACCAAGGCGACGAUCUCUAGCUGUUCUGAGAGGAAGAUCAGCCACACUGGGACUGAGACACGGCCCAGACUCCUACGGGAGGCAGCAGUGGGGAAUAUUGCACAAUGGGGGGAACCCUGAUGCAGCCAUGCCGCGUGUGUGAAGAAGGCCUUCGGGUUGUAAAGCACUUUCAGUGGGGAGGAAAAGGUAGUUGUUAAUACCAGCUACCCGUGACGUUACCCACAGAAGAAGCACCGGCUAACUCCGUGCCAGCAGCCGCGGUAAUACGGAGGGUGCGAGCGUUAAUCGGAAUUACUGGGCGUAAAGCGCACGC